CCUACGGGAGACAGCAGUGAGGAAUAUUGGUCAAUGGCCGCAGGGCUGAACCAGCCAAGUCGCGUGAGGGAUGACGGUCCUAUGGAUUGUAAACUUCUUUUGUCUGGGAGUAAAGGGCGUCACGUGUGGCGCUUUGCGUGUACCUUAUGAAUAAGGAUCGGCUAACUCCGUGCCAGCAGCCGCGGUAAUACGGAGGAUCCGAGCGUUAUCCGGAUUUAUUGGGUUUAAAGGGGGCGUAGGUGGAAUGUCAAGUCAGCGGUAAAAUUUCGGGGCUCAACCCCGACGUGCAGUUGAAACUGGCGUUCUUGAGUGCGCGAGAAGUAUGCGGAAUGCGUGGUGUAGCGGUGAAAUGCUUAGAUAUCACGAAGAACUCCGAUUGCGAAGGCAGCAUACCGGAGCGCAACUGACGCUGAGGCUCGAAAGCGUGGGUAUCGAACAGGAUUAGAUACCCCUGUAGUC
rnacentral:rRNA from 1 species